rnacentral:lncRNA from 1 species
AGAGAGAGAGAAUGUUACUCAGCUCCAAUAGCAAUUGAAUGCAACGUAGACACACUUUUCAUUUCUAAUAGAACAUUCCUUUUGUACAGCAGAGAAUAUGAUCUUAGCCAUACAAUUUAGUGUCAGCAAUAUGAGCUGCACACUUGGCAUGAGCUAGGACCUAUGAGACCUACACUCUAGAAUGAAAUCUAAGCCUUACACCUGUCAGCUAACAAACUUAAACCAGUAACUAAAUUUACAUUUCAACACCUCCUUUAUGCUCUGAUCGGUAACAAUGUAAGUGCCCAAGUUACUUCCAAUGAAGCUACCCAUCUU